GUACGCAUCUCCCCUGAUUCUGCUCGGUUCAGUUCUCCCAAAGGCAUCGUCUCCGCCCGAUCCACCAUGCCCUCUCGGUGACCUCCCCUGCGCAAUCCCCACCUCAACUGACCCACCCCUUUCCCUGUUCCACCACCAGGUAGCAGCACCAUGAGUACCGAUCACAGCUGGGAAUAGGCUCACCCAGGCAGUCCGAGAGGCUAAACAAGUGGAGGAGCUUGCUGGUGCAACUCGCCUCCUGUGCCAGCCCAUUUGGGCAGAGAUGAAACACGUGUGGGCAACUGCAGAAAGUUGCGCCUCGCGUCUGCAUCUGACCUAAGAUCACAAAAAUGAUGCACAUGCAAAUUUCAGAGUUCUAUGUUUCCACUAAUUUCUAAUUUCAGAGUUCUAUCUUUCCACUAGAUUGCCGUGCACCGGCCCUUCUCUGGAGUGAAGGAAUCUCACAAGGCCAAACGAUGACUCUUGUCCUCCACUGCCCUAGCUAGGGGAGGUUGCUAGUGUGGGUGGAGGUGACGACGGUGACGACAUCAAUGGACGACACGGAGAAGGAAUGUAACAGGAAGGUGAUGCAAUCAUCUCGACGGCUGGUUGGCCUAUCCUAUUGCACCAGUGCAUCCGUGCUUCUCCUAAUCAACACUCCGGCCCUGCUGCUCAUAGUGGACUCGAUGGCAUCUUGACUUCGCCCCCUUGUUCAAGAAGCCGUCUUCCCUGAUGCUUCUAGCGGUCGACACCCCCAAUUCAUCGACGUGAAUGGCUCCACACCUCAUAGUGGGAAUGCAUUGUUUUGUUGUCACAGAUACAAUG